GACGAACGCUGGCAGCGUGCUUAACACAUGCAAGUCGAACGGAAAGGCCCUGCUUUUGUGGGGUGCUCGAGUGGCGAACGGAUGAGUAACACGUGAGUAACCUGCCCUUGACUUUGGGAUAACUUCAGGAAACUGGGGCUAAUACCGGAUAGGAGCUCCUGCUGCAUGGUGGGGGUUGGAAAGUUUCGGCGGUUGGGGAUGGACUCGCGGCUUAUCAGCUUGUUGGUGGGGUAGUGGCUUACCAAGGCUUUGACGGGUAGCCGGCCUGAGAGGGUGACCGGCCACAUUGGGACUGAGAUACGGCCCAGACUCCUACGGGUGGCAGCAGUGGGGAAUAUUGCACAAUGGGCGGAAGCCUGAUGCAGCAACGCCGCGUGCGGGAUGACGGCCUUCGGGUUGUAAACCGCUUUCGCCUGUGACGAAGCGUGAGUGACGGUAAUGGGUAAAGAAGCACCGGCUAACUACGUG
rnacentral:rRNA from 1 species